GCUGAGAUCGUGCCAUUGCACUCCAGCCUGGGCAACAAGAGCAAAACUCCAUCUCAAAAACAAACACAAAACCCUUAUCCAAUGGUCAUGCCACUCUAUCUGGCCAUGUAAUUUCUCCACCUGGCUUUCUGUAGCAACAGCCUUCUGAGGAACCUCACUCUGCCGGUCAAAACCCCUUCAACUUGUACCCUUCAUCAGCAAAGUUCUUAGCUCAACAUGUAUGCCUCUGGGGGAACUCAUCCACAUGCCAUUUAAGGAUAUUUCCAGCAACAUCAUCUUCACUACCCCAGGAUGGCAUUUUAGAGUGGAUGACUUGCCUGCUGGAUGUGUUGUUCUUGAGCGAGUUUGAGAAAACGCUACACUUUGAGAUGAAUUAAGAGUCUGUUUACUUAGCCGGCGGCAAAGAAACGGCUAACGUUUAAAGUUCUCUCGGCUUCGAAGAAGGGGCUAAGAUUUUCUUUUAUACUUUGGUUUAGAAAGGGGAGGGGGUUCUAGUUAAAACAAUUUUACAUAAGUAAAGUAGACAAAAAAGUUAAAAGGAUAAAUUGUUACAGGAAAGUAAACAGUUUUAGGUCUAGGGCCUUUAACACUAUUAUAAGGUGAUAGACGCGGGGCUUUGGGCGUUAUCAAUCGGAUGAAUUCCUGGGAACUGCGGAUAUUGCUCGCCACAGUAUCUUAUCAGUUAAUUGCAUUCUUCGAUGUGCUGGGAGUCAGCUUGCACAAGUUAAGUCCCUGAGGAAGGGGCUGCCAGUGAAAGAGCCAAGAUGGAAUCUGUCUGGCUCUCUUAGCUAAGGGAGAGUCAAUUCAGGUGGAAACAAGGCUAGGUCAUUAAAAGAAAGGGAGAGUCUAAAAACAGGGUGAGUAAAAACAUGGUUGGGCAUUACAUUCCUCACUUGUGUUUUUGGGGAAUCAAAUCGUUGAUUCUUCAGUUAUAAAAAGGGGGUUAUUUUGAGUCUUCAGAUACAUAAGUUUGACAGAAGCUAUUCGUUGUUUUACAAAAUUAAGAAACUAACUUAAUAUACAAUGCCCCAAAAUUAGACUUAUUAGUAGGAUGGGGAGGGGGUCCAGCUAACUUAGUAAUUAGAGUGGUUAGCUAUGGGUUCUAGUUGAACAUGCGUUGAUACUAGGGGAUGUUACUUUCUUGUUCUUGUUGGCGCUUUUCUAGAUUUUCUUGCACUUUUUGGAGUGUAUCUUUUAUGACUAAGAAAGGUGGAGGAACAGUUAAAUCAACUUUGUCAGGGUGUUCCUGGAACAUAGGGUUACUUAGAUCAGUUAAAGGCCUGAUUGACUUGGGUGGGCUUUAUGAGACUAGGGUUUUUUUGGAUGGUGAACAUAUACUUAACAUUAAAUCCUGGGAUAUAAAAUCUUAAUGUUCAUGACAUGCCAUGAUACUAUUGAGUUGAAUUAAGGUCAUGGACAGUUAGAGGAUUACAGUUUUUUCUAGUACAUAAUUUAGGAUGAGAAGCACGAGUUAUGGAAAGAGUUGAAGAUCUGGUUGAUCUUUUAGAGUAGGUGGCUAAAGUUACACAUGUCUAAUCAGGGCAGAAAAACUGAUAAGCAUCUUGACAGCUAGCGUCAGGGUGAUUUCUAGGACAGAGGUAAAAGUCAACAUUUUGGAGUCUUUUUUUCUGCACUUUUGGAGCUUCUGCAAUUAGUUUGGCUCUUGGAGUGUCUGAAUCUUGCUGCAAGGUCGACACUUCCUGCUCCUGGGACUGGCAGAUGGUGUUGUUUUUGUGGGUGUGGGCUGGCUUUGGGAAUAGUACAAAUAAAUCAACUGCAAAGGAGACUUCCUUGGAGGUACGGACCUUCUAAGUGGUGUUUGCAAAUACACGUCCUGUUGUGAAAGAGGUGAGGAGAAAGGAGUAGGAAGGCACAGAGGAUGUAACUGGCAAAAACAAAUAAGUGAGGUAGACAAAAAGAAUGAAUCUAAUGGCUUCACCUGACUUAGGUGCAGUUUUAAGGGGCCUGACUUAGGCCUGGGGACUUAUGUUUUGAGCUGGGCUCUGUUGGACUUUUUGAUGCGGGAGUGAUGAAUCUAGCAGGAAUGCCGCCUACUUUCAGAGCAGUUGGAGUCGUGAGGAUGACGGUGUGAGGUCUUUUCUAAGCAGGAGUGAGUCUUUCUUUUUGGAACUUUUUAACAAAUGCUAGGUCUCCUGGCUGGAAUGAAUGGCAGGACUUUUUCUGGUCAGGAAUUGGAUUGGGAAGGGCUCCUCAAACAAGUGGCAGGAUAAUAUCUUGUACCUGUUGGAGAGAAUAUAGGUACUGUAAUAAAUUAGUUUGUGAUAUUUCUGCUAAUUUCACAUCUCUUCACUUAGGCAAGAGAGGCAGCGCCUUCUUAUACAUGAUUUCAAAGGGUGAGAACUUAGCGUGGUAAGGGGUGCACCUUACUUUAAGUAGAGCUAAAGGAAGGAGACUUACUUAAUUUACACUGGUUUUUAAGAUUUUGUAAGAGUGUUUUUUAGGGUGUGGUUCAUGCGUUGUACUUGCCUGGAGCUCUGAGGUUGAUAGGCACGAUGGAGCUUCUAUUGAAUGUUUAAGGCCUUACUGACUGACUGAGCUAUAGGCGACGUGAAGGCUGUUCUAUUAUCAGACUUUAUGGCAGCAGGCAGCCUAUACUGAACGAUGAUUUCAUUGUGUAAAAACUUAACUACUGUGUUGGUGGUUUCGUUUUCGGUAGCAAAUGCCUUAGUCUAUCUGGAGAAGGUGUCUACUAGUACUAGAAGGCAUUUGUACUUAGCCUGGUGUGGUUUGACUUCUGUAAAGUCAAUUUCUUACUUUUUUCUUGGCGAGGUUUUUCAGAGACAGUGGCCUGGGCUGGGUUUAGGACUUUGUUUGGCAUUUACUUGGGCGCAGGUUGUGAACUGGAGAGCUGCUUAAUCUGUUAGGCUUUGAAGACGGGGGAUCUUAAAAUGGCUCCGCAGGAGCUGAGGUAGCUUUGCUCUUUUUAAGUGGGUGGUAGACUGUAGGUGACGGACUAAAUUUUCUUUAAGGGUUCAGGAUAUGAAGCGUCUAGAGUCAGGAAGAAUCUACUAACUUUCCUGAUUUUUAUUGACUCUGAGAUCUGAAGCCAGUUUUUUGUUGUUGUUGUUGAGUGUACGGGAUUGUCAGGCAGAUCUGGCUGUGGAAAGGAGACUGUGGGCAGCAAGUUUAGAGGCGUGACUGAAAGUCUCGCUGCGACCUGAGCUGCUGAAUCAGGUUUCUGGUUACUAUGGGCAACGGCCGUGUUUUCUUUUUGAUGUCCUUUGCAGUGGAUCACAGCUACCUGCUGAGAAACUCCUGGAGGGCAGAGGCAUGCCUGCCAUCUUCAUCAAUGCAUUACCACCACCCAACACUAUCGGGGGACCUGCCCUGAUAAUCAGUCUACAGGUGAAUCCAGCAGCUCCAGAGAGACAGCGACCAGCGAGAAGGGGCCAUGAUGAUGGUGGUGGUUUUGUCAAAACGAAAAGGGGGAUAUGUAGGGAAAAGAAAGAGAGAUCAGACUGUUACUGUGUCUACAUAGAAAGGGAAGACAUAAGAGACUCCAUUUUG
rnacentral:lncRNA from 1 species